CAGGUACUUGGAUAAGGAAGACGACUACGUGCCUUGGAAAGCAGCCUUGCGGGCCUUGCAUUACCUCCUAACUGUCAUGUCUAAAAGUCCAAGCUACAACUCACUAAAGGCAUACAUAUCAAGUAAAGUGGUCGUUGCCAUGAGAAGAUACAAAAUUCAAGAAGAUGUCAUCCGGAGGAGGCUACUACAUUCGGAGUUAUUUGAAGCUGCUUGUCGAUAUGGCGACGCUAAUGCAACAAAAAUUGCCACAGUACUGUUCCAAAAAUGGAGAACAAGACGACAGAGAAUAGACCCCGAUAUACGACAGUCCGUCCUACAACAAGGGAUAGCCUCGGGGAGCCAGG